GCCUCAGUGGUCUAGUAGUAUGAUUCGCCCUUCGGGAGUCUCCCGUAAGCUGCUUAAUAAGCAAUUGCUUACGCAAUUGGGUGAGGUCCUGGGUUCAAUUCCCAGCUGGGGCC